rnacentral:rRNA from 1 species
ACGGGUGAGUAACGCGUGGGAAUCUACCCAUCUCUACGGAACAACUCCGGGAAACUGGAGCUAAUACCGUAUACGUCCUUCGGGAGAAAGAUUUAUCGGAGAUGGAUGAGCCCGCGUUGGAUUAGCUAGUUGGUGGGGUAAUGGCCUACCAAGGCGACGAUCCAUAGCUGGUCUGAGAGGAUGAUCAGCCACACUGGGACUGAGACACGGCCCAGACUCCUACGGGAGGCAGCAGUGGGGAAUAUUGGACAAUGGGCGCAAGCCUGAUCCAGCCAUGCCGCGUGAGUGAUGAAGGCCCUAGGGUUGUAAAGCUCUUUCAACGGUGAAGAUAAUGACGGUAACCGUAGAAGAAGCCCCGGCUAACUUCGUGCCAGCAGCCGCGGUAAUACGAAGGGGGCUAGCGUUGUUCGGAAUUACUGGGCGUAAAGCGCACGUAGGCGGAUACUUAAGUCAGGGGUGAAAUCCCGGGGCUCAACCCCGGAACUGCCUUUGAUACUGGGUAUCUCGAGUCCGGAAGAGGUGAGUGGAAUUCCGAGUGUAGAGGUGAAAAUUCGUAGA